rnacentral:rRNA from 1 species
CCGACACAGGUGGAUGAGGAGAGAAUCCUAAGGCCGACGGGAGAAGCAUUGUUAAGGAACUCGGCAAAAUGACUCCGUAACUUCGGGAGAAGGAGUGCCAGUAAGAUGGCCGCAGAGAAUUGGCCCAAGCAACUGUUUAGCAAAAACACAGGUCUAUGCAAAACCGAAAGGUGAGGUAUAUGGGCUGACGCCUGCCCGGUGCUGGAAGGUUAAGGGGAGAGGUUAGCGCAAGCGAAGCUUUGAACUUAAGCCCCAGUAAACGGCGGCCGUAACGAUAACGGUCCUAAGGUAGCGAAAUUCCUUGUCGGGUAAGUUCCGACCCGCACGAAAGGCGUAAUGAUUUGGGCACUGUCUCAACAAUGCACCCGGUGAAAUUGAAAUACCAGUGAAGAUGCUGGUUACCUGCGCCAGGACGGAAAGACCCCAUGGAGCUUUACUCCAGCUUGAUACUGGGAUUCGGUAUUGCAUGUACAGGAUAGGUGGGAGGCUAGGAAAUGGUAACGCCAGUUGCCAUGGAGCCAAUGUUGGGAUACCACCCUUGCAGUACUGGGUUUCUAACCAGCAGCCGUGAUCCGGCUGGGGGACAAUGUCAGGUGGGGAGUUUGACUGGGGCGGUCGCCUCCGAAAGGGUAUCGGAGGCGCUCAAAGGUUCCCUCAGAAUGGUUGGAAACCAUUCGAAGAGUGCAAAGGCAGAAGGGAGCUUGACUGCGACACCGACGGGUGGAGCAGGUACGAAAGUAGGACUUAGUGAUCCGGUGGUAUAAAGUGGGAUUGCCAUCGCUCAACGGAUAAAAGCUACCCUGGGAUAACAGGCUUAUCACUCCCAAGAGUUCACAUCGACGGAGUGGUUUGGCACCUCGAUGUCGGCUCAUCGCAUCCUGGGGCUGAAGUAGGUCCCAAGGGUUGGGCUGUUCGCCCAUUAAAGCGGUACGCGAGCUGGGUUAAGAACGUCGUGAGACAGUUCGGUCCCUAUCCGGCGUGGGCGUAAGAUAUUUGAGAGGAGCUGUCCUUAGUACGAGAGGACCGGGAUGGACUGGCCGCUGGUGUAUCUGUUGUCUUACCAAAGGCAUAGCAGAGUAGCCAAGCCGGGAAGGGAUAAACGCUGAAGGCAUCUAAGCGUGAAGCCCCCCUCAAGAUGAGAUAUCUCAUAACGUCAAGUUAGUAAGACCCCUUGAAGACGACGAGGUAGAUAGGGCAGAGGUGGAAGUGUGGUAACACAUGGAGCUGACUGUUACUAAUAGGUCGAGGGCAUAACC